rnacentral:rRNA from 1 species
UACGUAGGGUGCGAGCGUUAAUCGGAAUUACUGGGCGUAAAGCGUGCGCAGGCGGUUCGUUAAGACAGAUGUGAAAUCCCCGGGCUUAACCUGGGAACUGCAUUUGUGACUGGCGAGCUAGAGUAUGGCAGAGGGGGGUAGAAUUCCACGUGUAGCAGUGAAAUGCGUAGAGAUGUGGAGGAAUACCGAUGGCGAAGGCAGCCCCCUGGGCCAAUACUGACGCUCAGGCACGAAAGCGUGGGGAGCCAAACGAGG